rnacentral:tRNA from 1 species
GCCUGGGUAGCUCGGUUGGUUGAGCAGCUGGCUUUUGGUUUUGGCUCAGGUCAUGAUCUCACAGUUUGUGGGUUCGAGUCCCACCUUGGGCU